AGAGAGGAUGCCGAAAAUCUCAUAAAGAGUAGGCG
ncrna:unclassified sequences DTF805b RNA